AUCAUCAAAUGGGUUGUCAGAUUAAUUGCUGUUACAUCUGAAACUCAAAAAACAAACCAGUAGAGAAAGGAGAUAAUGAAGAAAAUGGUUUCCAGAGGAUAUCAGGACACAGAUGAGAAAGUGGAGGGGCAGCUAAGAACUCUUUAAUCCCCCAAAUGGUGCCACAUCUAUGGGAGGAAGCGACCCUUUUAAUGAUGAUAACAAAGAUUAAUAUUUAAGCACUCUGAUUUUUUAAAAAGUGUCUCUGUCACUGCUGUCAUGACAUUCAUAGACACUACUGUCAAAUGAACUAAUUUUCACAUGUACAUAAGCCAGCUUUGAAAAGAUACAUACUUCAGUAAUUAAUCAUACAUUCAGCCAACAAAACUAAGCCAUAAUAUAAUAUUUCAUAGUAGAAUUUUUAUACUACUUCAAUUAUCAAAUAAAAGUGAAUACAAAGGAUAUUUUGCAGGAUUCUUGAUGAUAAAAUUAUUCUAAGAAAAAUCCCCCAAUAUUUCCUCUAUUUGACUUUUCUUCCAGAAAAAUAGGAAGAGGGCAUGUAGGAUUCUCAACAGCUGGAACCACUGAAGGCUGCACAACUACAGCAAGGGGGAAAAAGGGUAUCAGUGUGUGAGAAAGAUAUAGGUAGAGUAAGGAUGUAUCAAACAAGAAGGGAAGCUCUGGGGCAUAACAACCAAGGAAAUAGGGAAAAGUCCAGUUUUUAUGAGUCCGCAACAUGUGUGUUGCACAGAGCUUCAUGCUUAGAAGGACUUUGUACUUGGCUAAAUUUUCUACUGCUGUCUUUGUGAAAUCAUUAAUAAUUUCUGAAUAAGAGGUCUAUAUUUGGCAGUGAGCCCCAUUCCUGGAACAGGCUAACGCAAAAUGCAUUUCCUUUGUAAAGGUAACAGGCAAGUCAGAGAAGGGAAGUCUGAAGACCAGCCUAGUAAGAGCUCUGGAAGCAACAGUAGGAAGCCUUCUGGAAAGCGGGGGUCGGGGGAGGCUGCUUAGAUACCAGGAAACAAAAGCAAAAGGAGAGGACUAAUCUGUAAGAUUUUUCUAAAACUAAUUGUUACAAAAAUUACAAUUUUAGAUAAGUACUAGGAUAAUGAGAAAGUAAUGAGUUAGGAGAUAGUCACUGCUUUUCCUCAAAAAAUAUAAGACAGAUUAAUUAAAAAAUGUGUCAUUUCAAAAAAGACAGGUCUAAUACUUUUGCCAAAGGCACAAGGUAAUAUUAAUUAUCAGGAAUCACCAUUAAUAUCAGUAAGUAGUAUAUUUUAUCAAAUAUAAAAUACACAUUGUUAUUUGAUCAAUUUUUUUUGACAUUUAAAAAUCUGAGUAAAACACCUAACAGGUAAAGUUUAACUCAAAAUGAAGUCAUGAGGCUGUGCCUUUAGUUUUGUUUUGACCUUAUCCACACAAAGCAUGACUAUAAAAUUUACUCAAAUCUUUACCAACAGAAUUCCUUUAUACACUCUACACUCAUUAUCCUUUCCUGAUAAGCUCUCAUAAAAUCCUAAAGAGGAUCAUCCCAUAAAAUGACAGUAGUUACAGUAUCUACCAUUUCCCAAAAAAAUAUUUCUACACAAAUCUUAAAAUCAUCUAUCUACUUUGAGUACUACCACUCCUAUUAACUUGGAUUUAUGGAGAACAAAAAAUCAGAUUAACACAGAGCAAAAUUAGAUACAUGAGCCAUCUUUUUUCAUAAAAUGACUCACUGCUUUAAUUUAAAAGAAUCCUUUGCCAUGUAACAGCACAUGUUUUAAGUGAAGGUGAUAAUAUACUUUUAUUCUAAACAAAGAAUCAACUGACCCUAUAUUAAGGUUAAGUAUGAGUAAAACAGAGUUUAAAUAUUUUAUUAGAAAAAAAUUCCAUUUACAAAUGGGUCACUUCUAACCCUCUUACCCAAGAAAACAAAAACUUAAGGAAAAAUGCGAGGUAGAAUAAGAAAUGACACCACAUGCUAGCCCUAACAACGCACCCAUAUUUAUCUAUGUGUGCAUGAGUUAACUGUUAAAUACAAAAAUUCUACAGAAGACAUGCCGGUCCUAUUAUUUUUAACCCCAGCCAAAAAUACACAGCAUAAUUUGCCAAGGAGUUAAAAUAAGACAGAAGUCAAAUAAUUGUUUAUUCUUCCUGGAUCCCAACAUACACAUGACUCAUCCCUUGAAUAUUCUCAGUUACACCCAUUUGACUUUCGCCAUCUACUCAUCAACUCCAGGCCUUAUAUUUCAUAUGUAUAAAACAGAGUUUAUAAGCUCUUUUUAAAGAACAUUAUUGUAAGAAAUAAAAUUACCUGGAAAAUAAUAAAUGCUCUAAUAAAGAUAAAUAUGUGCUGGUUUACAGCAGUCUGAUUCCCUGAUACAUACUUUUUUAAAAUAAUAGACUCUCUUUUAGAGUGGUUUUAGGUUCAGAGCAAAAUUGAGCAGAAGGUAUAGAGAUUUCCCAUUUACUCCUUGCCUUCAAUGAUGCAUAACCUCUCCCAUUCUCAACAUCCCCCACCAGAGUGGUAUAUUUCACCUCGGAUGAGCAUAACUGAUAACAUCAUUAUCACAAAUGGACAACAUAGUAAGAGUAUUUUUAGUUUCAUAAGAAACUACCUGGGAGUUCCCGUCGUGGCACGGUGGUUAACGAAUCCGACUAGGAACCAUGAGGUUGCGGGUUCGGUCCCUGCCCUUGCUCAGUGGGUUAACGAUCCGGCGUUGCCGUGAGCUGUGGUGUAGGCUGCAGACGCGGCUCGGAUCCCGUGUUGCUGUGGCUCUGGCGUAGGCUGGUGGCUACAGCUCCGAUUCAACCCCUAGCCUGGGAACCUCCAUAUGCCACGGGAGCGGCCCAAGAAAUAGCAACAACAACAACAACAAAAAAAAGACAAAAAAAGAAACUACCAAACUGUCUAUUCCAUUUUUUAUUCUCACCAGCAAUGAAUGAGAGUUCCUGAUGUUUCACAUCCUUGCCAGCAUUGUGUAUUGUCAGUUUUGGCAUUUUUGCCCUUCUGGUAGGUGUGUAGUGUUAUCCCACUGUUAUUUUAAUUUCCAUUUCCCUGAUUGCAUGUGAUGUUAAACACCUUUUCAUGUGCUUGUUAUCUGUAUAUCUUUAAUGAGGUAUCUAUUAAGGUUUUCUGUCUAUUUUUUAAUCAGGUUGUUUAUUAUUGUUGAAUUUUAAGAGGUCUUUAUGUAUUUGAGAUAACAGUCCUUUAUUAGAUGUGUCUUUAGCAAAUAUUUUCUCCUAGUCUGUGGCUUUUCUUCUCAUUCUCCUCAUACCAUUUAGAGUGCAGAAGUUUUUAAAUUUAAUGAAGUCCAGGUUAUCAAUUAUUUUUUCAUGGAACAAGUCUUGCUGUUGUACUUAAAAUGUCACUGCUAUACACAAGGUUAUCUAGGUCUUCUCCUAUGUUAUCUUCCAUGAUUUAUAGUCCUGCAUUUUACAUUUAUGUCUGUGAUUCAUUUUGAGUGAAUUAUUGUGAAGGGUGUAGGUAUGUGAAAAUACUUAUUUUUUUUGCAUGUGAAUGCCCAAUUGUUCUUGCACCACUUGUUGUAAAGACUAUCUUUGCUUUGUUGCAUUGUCUUUGCUCCUUUUUCAACAAUCAAUUGAAAAUAUUUAUAUGAGCCUAUUUCUGUGCUCUCUAUUGUGUUACAUAGAUAUAUGUGUCUAUUAUUUUGUCAAUAUCACACAUUCUUGAGUAUUGUAGCUUUAUUGUAAGCUUAUGAUGUUGGUAGGGUCAGUCCUCCAGGAACAGUAUUUUAUAAAAGAGAAACUAGAUGGGUGCAUUUAAUAUUUAGAAUUCCAAUUUGAUGUGUGUAGAAAUGUAGUAUAAAUAAAGAAGUAGAAUACUCAAGAAAAAAUCUCACUUUAGGUGCACAUUCAAACUACCCUGAAAUAAGCAAAAACUGGGGUAUUUUAGAUAUAAGUAUCCAAUUUGACAUGAUGCUACUCUGAUACAUUAUCAGAAGGAACUACAAUGACUAGGGUUGUGUCCAUUUUCCCAUGCAAAACCAGAAAAAAUCCUUACCCUUACUUCUAUCACAAGAAUAUUAUGAUACAAAAAAAGAUAAAACAUGCUUGAAUAUACUUUGAGUACAUAUGUUUGUGUAUAUAAGCUCCUCUUCCUCCUGAGAGGCUAUGAUAUUAUUCUGAUUAUUUCUUCAAUUGCUGUUUCAGGACAGGCUCUCUCAGCCACUUCACUAUCACUCUAAUAAUACUGCUGCUGGAAACUACCCCUUAUGUCUGGUGCUCCAGCAGUAAUGAUUGAAUAGCUCACAUAAUUCAAAAUCAUGAAUUUCAAUAUUUUAUUUUGGACUCUUUCCAUGUUCAGAAACAAAUGAAUGGCACAAAAAAUAUCUAUUUAUAAUAAAUUGCCUUUACUCAGUAAGGUCAAAUUACUCUCCCUGUGGCAUUAUCUUGAAUAUACUUAAAGAAUCAAAUAUAUCUUCGAUGAUAUUUUCCCCCUCCCCACUCCUCUAUUUUUCAAUUAAGUUCAUGCCUCAUUUCUUAGCAUAUUUCAGAAGCUUCAUGAACACAUUUGACCAUGUCAAACUCAGAUUUUGCCAAAGCUGAACUAUACCUAAAACUUAAGCAUGGAAGCACAGAAUAGUAAUAAUUGCUUCAAUAGGUAAUAAUCAGACUCAGACUAGGCACAGAGUAAAAGCAAUCUGGCCUUCUUGAUGUUAAAAUCAGGACAGUCUCCUAAGACCAGAAACACUCCUUUUAAGACUAAGAAGCUCUUAAGUGCUUUGCAAUGGGGUAUAUAAAAAUAUCAAU
rnacentral:lncRNA from 1 species